AAGUCGUAACAAGGUCUCCGUAGGUGAACCUGCGGAGGGAUCAUUACAAGUGACCCCGGUCUAACCACCGGGAUGUUCAUAACCCUUUGUUAAUCCGACUCGUGUUGCCUCCGGGGCCGACCCUGCCUUUCGGGCGGGGGCUCCGGGUGGACACUUCAAACUCCUUGCGUAACUUUGCAGUCUGGAGCAAACUUAAUUAAUAAAUUAAAA
rnacentral:misc_RNA from 1 species